GUAGCCUUAACGAUAAGACAGCAGUGCCAUCCGCAUACUACACAAGGCUUGACCUGCCAUUCAGUGCAGAGAUUCUCAGGGCUCCAUGUUUUAUUAUUUCGCAGGAUCGGAGGUUGUCUGGAUGCUUGAAAAAGAAAUCCCUAUCCUGAGACAGAGCGGCGGACGUGAUUCUUCCAAGUGCAUUUUUAUGGAAUAAAAACAGCCAUCAUGUCAGGGAAAUCUGAAGUAAAGAACAAGUGGGCGGCUGUCAGGGGCCGCUUGGGCUCCUCACAGGACUCAGACACCCAGCAGGAGGCCAACUUGGAGAGCGCCGAUCCAGAGCUGUGCAUCAGGCUGCUGCAGGUCCCCACUGUGGUCAACUACUCAGGCUUGAAGCGGCGCCUGGAGGGCAGCGACCAGACAUGGAUGGUGCAGUUCUUGGAGCUGAGCGGGUUGGAUCUCCUCCUGGAAGCUCUGGACCGGCUCUCCGGGCGGGGAUGCUCUCGUAUUGCUGACGCCCUCCUGCAACUCACCUGCGUCAGCUGUGUGCGUGCGGUCAUGAACUCCUCUGCAGGGAUCCACUUCAUUAUAGAGAACGAGGGAUACAUACGGAAGCUCUCACAAGCUUUGGACACUUCCAACAUCAUGGUGAAGAAGCAAGUAUUUGAGCUGCUGGCUGCCCUCAGCAUGUUCUCUGCAGAAGGCCACUGCCUGGCACUGGACGCCCUGGACCACUACAAGGGUGUGAAGACACAGCAGUAUCGCUUCAGCGUGAUCAUGAAUGAAAUGCAGGCCACAGAUAAUGUUCCAUACAUGGUGACACUCCUUAGUGUCAUCAACGCCAUCAUCUUCGGGACAGAUGACCUCAGGAAGAGAGAUAAGACGAGGAAGGAGUUUAUUGGACUCCAACUUCUUGAUAUUCUGCCAAAGUUAAGGGAGCAGGAGGAUGAAGAUUUGAUCAUUCAAUGUGAAGCUUUUGAAGAAGCAAUGGCUGAGGAUGAGGAGGAGCUGCUGCGUGUGUACGGGGGCAUUGACAUGAGUAAUCACCUGGAGGUUUUCACUACACUCUUUAACAAGGUGAGCAGCUCUCCAGCCUCUCUGCAGCUGCUGUCCAUCCUGCAGACGAUGUUGGUGCUUGGCCCAAGCCGUUCGGAUAUUUGGCUGGCUCUGGAGGCUAUCACAAACAGAGCCACUUUGCUGGCCCAGGACUCUCAGAUGGAGACCUGUGAGAAGAUCAUGCAGCGGCUGAUGUUCUCUAAAGGGAGCAGUGUUACAGAUCACCAUGAAUUGGAUGGACUCAUCAUGAAGGUGGAUAAAGCUGUUCAAACUGGUCUGGAUUAUGAGGAUGAUAAAAAGACAGACACAAUCAUCACUUCUUCUCAGAAGCCGUUGUGUGCCUCUCCUCCUCCACCUCCCCCUCCACCUCCUCCCCCUCCUCCUCCCCUACCCCCUGGCAUCAGCGGAGCUCCACCUCCUCCUCCACCCCCACCUCCUCCACCACCGCUCCCUGGAGGGUUCGGUGGACCUCCGCCACCUCCUCCGUUACCCGGGAUGCCGCCGCCGCCGCCACCACCACCACUUCCUGGCAUGGCUCCUCCGCCGCCUCCACCACCACUUCCUGGCAUGGCUCCUCCGCCACCUCCACCGCCCCUACCAGGGAUGGGUGGCGGACCACCACCACCACCUCCCUUACCGGGGAUGCCGCCUCCACCUCCUCCUCCCCCAGGCAUGAUAAUGGCUCAGAGCAGUCAGGUGCUUGGUUAUGCUGCGCCUGCAAAGACGAGCCGAUGCCCCACCCUGAGGAUGAAAAAGCUCAACUGGCAGAAACUCCGAGCUGUAACGGAUGGUCCCUCCAUGUGGGCCUCGGUUCAGAAGGAGCCUCCUCCUCGGGAGCCGGACUACAGCAGUAUCGAGCAGCUGUUCUGUCUCCCAGUGACCGAGCACAAAGACAAGGGGGCAGCUGCACCUGUCAAGAAGGAGCCUAAAGAGAUUACAUUUAUUGAUCCAAAGAAAAACUUGAAUUUAAACAUAUUCCUAAAGCAGUUUAAAUGCACAAAUGAGGACUUUGUAGCCAUGAUUCAGAAAGGGGACCGUUCUAGGUUUGAUGUGGAGGUGCUCAAACAGCUUCUGAAGCUCCUACCUGAGAAGCACGAGAUUGAAAACUUGAAAUCAUUCCAAGGAGAAAAAGAGAAGCUGGCAAAUGUUGAUCGUUUUUACACCUUCCUGCUCACAGUGCCAUGUUAUCAGCUGAGGAUUGAGUGCAUGUUGUUGUGCGAGGAGACUUCUUCAGUGUUGGAGAUGCUCAAACCUAAAGUUAAGCUGGUGGAAGAGGCCUGCCAGUCCAUCAGAGAGAGCACUCUCAUGCCCAGUUUCUGCAGACUCAUCCUUGACGUUGGAAAUUUUCUUAACUAUGGAAGUCACACAGGGAACGCCGAGGGGUUCAAGAUCAGCUCUCUGCUCAAGCUUACAGAAACGAAAGCCAACAAGAGCCGCAUUACACUGCUUCAUCACAUCCUGGAGGAAGCAGAGGUUAACCACCCAGAACUGCUGGAUCUGCCAGAAGAUAUCGAGAUCUGUGAGAAAGCAGCAGGAGUUAAUCUGGACUCUGUUCAGUCAGAAGCCAGUGCCUUACUAAAACGACUGAACGAGACGGCCAAGAAGGUCUCCAACUCUGUUGAAGAGGUUAAAGAGCAGUAUGCCAAAGUUAUUGAAGAAAGCGUGGAGGCGUGUCAGGCUCUGACUGAAAGGUUCACUGCCAUUGAGAAGAAAAAGAGCGAUCUAGCUGUGUAUUUAUGCGAAGACUCAAAUAAGCUGUCACUCGAGGAACUCUUUGGAACCAUCAAGACUUUUCGAGGACUUUUCAUUAAAGCGCUGAAGGAAAACAAAACGAGAAGAGAGCAGGCGGCCAAGGCAGAGAAGAGAAAGAAGCAGCUGGCAGAGGAAGAAUCCAAGAGACAGAAGGGAGAGAACGGAAAAAUAAUCAAGAAAGGCUUUGUGCCACAGAAUGACGGCUGCAUCAUCGAUCACCUCCUGGCGGAUAUCAGGAAAGGUUUCAGCUUAAGAAAGACCAGGCCAAGGUGCGAUUCGGAAAGCCUCCCUUCUAGUGAAAAGCAUAGGGAUACCCCGUCUGGAUCAAGUGUGAAGCCUGUCGAAGAAGAAGCCGCAGAAACAGCCACCAUUUCCGCGCCCACCAAACCUCAGACAGAGGGUCACCCAGUCACCGCAGGCGAAGUGAACGGCUUCAUCAGCCCUUCAGAAGAGGCUCCUCUGGCGCUGGAGAGUGCAGUGCAAGACGGGCCAGCUGCACCUCCCAGCACACCCCCAAUAAAACCAGCCAUGACAACACAGGCACCCCUGGAAAGGCCAACAUCACUGCAGGAGAAGCAACACCCACAGGAACCUUCAAUUUUACUGCUGGAUAUGACACAGCCUCAGGCUGAAGAGGAAUAUCAGACAUGUCAUCCUACAACAAACGGCUUUUCAUUGGGUUCAACUGAGACCAGCGCCAUCAGCCCGUCUUCCCUCUCAGAUUUAGACCUACUAGAGGCUGUCUUAGACAGCACGCCCAGCUCAGUACCAGAGAGGGCUAUACCUGAGGAGCCUGCAGACAUUAGUGUUAAUGUUCAACUUAAGGAAAGUCCUUCAGUUAAUACAGACAAUGUGACACAAGUAAGUAAAAGCAAUAUAAGAGAAGAAGAGAAAGGUGAAAUUAAUAAAAGCCAUUCAGCAGAGACUGCAGGACAAGAAAAGCAGGAACACAUUAUCGUAAAAACGUGCAAGCAAGAUGACAUCAUCAGCCAUAAACAAUCAGACCCCAAAGGGAAUGUGGCCAAACUCGGUGAGGGUAUCGAGGGGUUUGACGUCCCAGAUGGGCAGGAAUCAGAUAUCCAAGAUCUGCCAUCAGUCUCUGAAUCAAUAUCCCCAUCAGUUAGACCUGAACCAAAGAAACAAGGGAGCAUCUUUAGACGAAGCAAAAAGAAGAGUAAUUCAGGUAUGCCAUCCAUAUCCACCAAUAAAGAAAAUGUUGGGAAUGUUAGUCGUUUGAUGUGUCUUAAAGGGAACUCCUUAUUUGUGUUGUUUUUAUUCCUUUUAACAUUUUAUAUUUUAUGCUUAGGCUGUUUUAGUGUAUAUUAAGUAUUUAGCAUGUGACAUGCAUUUUAUUAAAGAGUUUGGAUGCAGUGUGAAGCCCUUGAUUGAAUAUUGAAUGGAUGUCAAUAUGGCCAGUGUGUUUGAAUUCUCUGUUCUCCAUUCUGAAACACAAGGUAACAGUGGGAAAGGACACACUAGACAUAAAAAAGGCUGUGUGUUGCAGUGAGGUAGGUCAAAACGGUGGGAUGGCAAAACUGUAAGCAGGAACAUCAUCCUAAUGAGUUCAGUCACCGUCAAAGCUUUGUCCUGAAUAACACAUCAUUUGUUGGUCUAACUGGAUUAACUGGAUUUCAUUUGUCUCUGUUGUCCAGCUUUAGCACUUGCUCUCUCUUCAAUGCUUGUGCAAGUCAGUUGUGGUCAGGCCCAAAAUCCUAACAGCAUUCAGCCAAAUGUAUGUUGAGGUGUUUCUAAUGUGCAUCAGAUGAGGAGAGAACUAACCCUAAAGGUGACUCCAGAAAAAGAAAAUCAAGAGGGAAAAGAAAAUGUUAAUGCUACCGAACUGGAUGGACUGAAGUUUAUUUUAUUUAUUGAGAAAACACAAGAUUUGACUCUGGGGUGGAUGCAGAAGUCUUCCUUUUGCAGUGAUUUGUUUUCAAGACAAGAAGAGGAAACUCAUCUGAAGCUGGAACUGUCAACGAAAGAAUGUUAACAUGUCACUUUAUGUAAAUGAGUUGCAGCUUUUGUGUAUAAUGAUUGCUUUGGAUUCAGACAAAAAGAAGUGGAAUAUGCUUUCUAUGUUUUGUACAGUUAAAUGCAGUAAAUGUGUUUUUGCUAUGAGCUCUAUUAACUUGUGCAGAAAGAAAAGAUGCAGUGUUUGGUGCAAGAUGUUUAAUUCAUAAAAAAAAUGCUUUAAAUACAUGUCUUAAUUUAAACUUUAUAUACAUAUAUAUUAACAAGAUGAUCUCUAAUGAGAAAUAUCAGAAAAGCAUUUAAUGGAUUGUAACUUUUAAUGUUUAAUAUAUUUUAAUAAAAGUGAUUUUACUGUUCAA